UGCGGCGGCCAUGGCCCAGGAGAGACGCCCGGUCCCAUUCCGAACCCGAAGCUAAGGCCUGGCACGGCGAUGGUACUGCACCCGACAGGUGUGGAGAGUAGCACGCCGCCGCAC
rnacentral:rRNA from 1 species